rnacentral:misc_RNA from 1 species
AUUUUUCUUCUUGCUGCUCUGUUUAGUGGUGUGGGAGAUCGCUAAACCCUCAAAAGAUGUCGUCUUCUCUUCCGCCUGGUUGUCGAUUUUACCCUUCCGACCAGCAUCUUCUCUGCUACUACCUCACCAGCAAGAACCACACGAAUAUAGACGCUGACGAUGGCAAUCGGAACGUGAGCGGCUACGAUUUGAUAAAGGAGCUUGACUUGUACAGCCACGAGCCGUUUGAUUUACCGGAAAAUGCGUGCUAUGCAUACGGAUGCGGGGGUAGGAAAAGGCAUUGGUAUUGUUAUACGAAUGUUAGGUUUUUGAGCGAAGGCAGAGGAGGGAGGAGCAGGAGGGCGAAGGGAGGGUAUUGGAGGAGGAGCGGUAGGGUUAGGAAUGUCGUAGAGCCCGGUGGGAAGGUUGUGGUGGGGACGAGGACUAGGUUCGUUUUUUAUUUGGAGAAUUCGGUGAAAAAUGCAACCAGGACCGAUUGGGUCUUGUAUGAAUAUUCCCUAAAUGAUCAUGUGAAGGCUUCUUAUGUCCUUUGCCGAGUAUUUUUCAAGUCUCGUGGUGGAAAUAGCAUUUCAGAGAAUAUGUUAAGUUCCUGUGCUGAAGAAAGUGUUUCUGCUGUACGUCAUGUUGGGAUUCAACAUGAUGGAUUUCUUACACCUGACAUAGUUGAAGCUAAAGUGCAUCAGAGCAGUACUGUUGAUAGGAAGAAUGAUUUGUCAAGAUAUGCUAUGAGACUAAGUACUGAGUUGGGUGAUCAAGUCACUACUACACCUAUUUCUGAUGGCAGUUUUCAGUUUCCUUCAGCCAGCCAAUCCAAUGUUGAAUCUAAUAAGCCAGUUAGUACGCCUGGACUUUCUGGUGGUGACAUAUUUGUAGAUGCUGAAACUGAUCAACACUUAGUAUCCAUUCUAAAGGGAGAUUUCAUAGAGCUGCAUGAUCUAGUGGAUUGAUCAUCCAACAAUGUUUAAAGGAUCGUUUUUGAAAGACAUGUGGAUAUUAACCUAAUGGGUUAGGUUAUCGCUCAAAGUUAUUGAUUCAUGGAAUUAGAAGUUAUAGGAGUUUAAAUCCCAGCUAGAAGGAGUUUACAAGACAUAGAAGGCAUUCAAAUGCGCAGCUGAAAAAUAGAAGGGUUUAGAAUUCAGUUGAAAGAAGAGGUUUAUGUUAUGAGAAAUCUUAUAUAAAACAUUAAGUAAAGAAAUGGAAGAUAUUAAUGUUUUGUGGAGCGUUCAAAAUUUAAAUGAUGAACUCAUACUGUUAGUUAUGAUGUUCAGGGAGAUAUCAUAGCAACUUGCUUCAUUUGUCGAGGCAUUUUUCCUCCAGUGGAAUCUGAACAAGAUUGAUGUGUCAGAUGAUGGUAAAUCCAAGUAAAAAAGAAAAAAAAAAGAAAUAUCUCUGAGAAUUGCUGCUUCUCCUGACUUUAUCAACUCUCUUUUGUAGUGAUACCAUUGAUGAUGGAGUGUUUCAUGUCUUUUUAUAUGUGGAAAAACUGUACUUUUCCCUUGUUUCUCAAGUUCCUUUCUUUAACAAGGCCCCUUGUUCUCUGUCUCACCUAUUUUCAGUUUCUCAAGUUGCAGGGUAGAUUUAUCUUUAUGAUGUAAUGGAUGGGACUUUGUUCCUCCUCGCCUUUCUGGCGAUUUCAAUUAGCUUAGAAAGCCUAUCACUGUUUAGCUUGACAUGUAAUCUUCUGAGCUUCCUCAUAGCAAGACCUGGAUAACAAUGUCACCGAGUGUGCAUGCUAAAUGAGCUUUUGCAAUUUUGUUUAUAAUGUUCACUUGCUUGAUCAUUGCAGUCUUGUAGAAUUGCUUAUAAUGCCAAAUGUGAUGAUGGUAAAUCCUUGAACCUAAGUCAGUUACUUUGUUCUGUUAUUUUCAGUUAUAGAUUUUAUAGUAGUACAUUGACCUGUAGUUUCAGAAUCUCAAUUUAACUUUAUGUUUGUUUUGCUUAUAUGUAUGAUUUUCUCAUGAGACUAGAUCUUCAUGGGAGUUCAUCUGUUUUGCUUGUUCUCUUUUUCUUAAAGUGGAGAUUAAGAUGUUCCUCCUCUUUCGUGGUCUAGAAUUGAAGACAUCUAUUUCAGAGUCCUCUUUUUUUUCCUGAUUGCAAUUUUGUUGCAAAGAAAAAGAAGUUGGAAUAUCAGCACAUGUUGUUUCAUUGUUUGUGGUGCAUGGGUUUUUGGUUAGAUAUUUUUAUCUUGAAUAAAUUUGCAUAGGGACUGCAGAUGGAGAAGAGUAGAAGCCUAUUUUAGAUUAGGCCACCUGUGCAUGUGUCUUGUUUCCCAUGUAAUUGUACCACUGCAAAAUUUCCCAUCUUUAAUGAUACAUGCGUUUGAGUGCAUUUACCCCGUGUGUUUCUGAAUAUGGCUGCUUGUAAUUUCUGGUUAUUAAUGAAUUGCUUUUAGAUGAACUAUAUUUGCCU